rnacentral:rRNA from 1 species
CAGCAAUGCCUGAGACCGGCGCACGGGUGCGUAACGCGUAUGCAAUCUACCUUGUACAGGGGAAUAGCCCAGAGAAAUUUGGAUUAAUGCCCCAUAGUAUAUUUGAGUGGCAUCAUUUAAAUAUUAAAGUUGAGGCGGUACAAGAUGAGCAUGCGUCCCAUUAGCUAGUUGGUAUGGUAACGGCAUACCAAGGCAAUGAUGGGUAGGGGUCCUGAGAGGGAGAUCCCCCACACUGGUACUGAGACACGGACCAGACUCC